rnacentral:rRNA from 1 species
UACGAAGGGGGCGAGCGUUGUUCGGAUUUACUGGGCGUAAAGGGCGCUCAGGCUGCUCAUUUUGUCAGGCGUGAAAGCCCCGGGCUUAACCUGGGAACUGCGUUUGAUACGGAUGGGCUAGAGUUCGGGAGAGGAGAGUGGAAUUCCUGGUGUAGCGGUGAAAUGCGCAGAUAUCAGGAAGAACACCCGUGGCGAAAGCGGCUCUCUGGAACGGUACUGACGCUGAGACGCGAAAGCGUGGGGAGCGAACAGG